GCACCAAGUAAUACAUUCCACCCCCAAGAUUUCUCUGAUGUUAUUAGUUUUAUUUUGUAUGGGAACUCUCAUAGAACAGGGAAGGACAAUUGGUUGGAAAGACUGUUCUAUAGCUGCCAGAGACUGGAUAAGCGUGACCAGUCAACAAUUCCACGCAAUCUCCUGAAGACAGAUGCUAUCCUUUGGCAGUGGGCCAUAUGGGAAGCUGCACAAUUCACUGUUCUUUCUAAGCUGAGAACCCCACUGGGCAGAGCUCAAGACACCUUCCAGACAAUUGAAGGUAUCAUUCGAAGUCUCGCAGGUCACACAUUAAACCCUGAUCAGGAUGUUAGUCAGUGGACAACUGCAGACAGUGAUGAAGGCCAUGGUAACAACCAACUUAGACUUGUUCUUCUUCUGCAGUAUCUGGAAAAUCUGGAGAAAUUAAUGUAUAAUGCAUACGAGGGAUGUGCUAAUGCCUUAACUUCACCUCCCAAGAACUUUUUUGUAUACCAAUCGCCAAACUUGUCAGGACUGGCUAACGCGGAUUCGACUCUCCAUCAUGAGGGUAGGAUUGUUGGCAGGCCAGCCUGCAGUGACAGUGAGAC
rnacentral:lncRNA from 1 species